AACGAACGCUGGCGGCAUGCCUAACACAUGCAAGUCGAACGAGACCUUCGGGUCUAGUGGCGCACGGGUGCGUAACGCGUGGGAACCUGCCCUUAGGUUCGGAAUAACUCCCCGAAAGGGGUGCUAAUACCGGAUAAUGUCUUCGGACCAACGAUUUAUCGCCUUUGGAUGGGCCCGCGUUGGAUUAGCUAGUUGGUAGGGUAAAAGCCUACCAACGCGACGAUCCAUAGCUGGUCUGAGAGGAUGAUCAGCCACACUGGGACUGAGACACGGCCCAGACUCCUACGGGAGGCAGCAGUGGGGAAUAUUGGACAAUGGGCGAAAGCCUGAUCCAGCAAUGCCGCGUGAGUGAUGAAGGCCUUAGGGUUGUAAAGCUCUUUUACCCGGGAUGAUAAUGACAGUACCGGGAGAAUAAGCUCCGGCUAACUCCGUG
rnacentral:rRNA from 1 species